AAUCAUCAAAUUGGGGACACAGAUCAGAAGAAAUCAAACUCAAGAUAAUUGCUCUGGUCAGAUCUCACGCUUGUAGAUGCAGCAGAAGCCGGUGUAGCAGGAGCAUGUUGUUUCACCGGUUCAAGAUCAACCGGUUUAGGAACCUCAGGUGGAGUGGCACACCGAACCAGAGCCCAAUUCACUCCUUCAAAGAAAGGAUGUUGCUUCAUCUCCGUCGCUCCACGCUUGUAAGCUAACCUAUGCUGUGGCUCCUUCACAAGCAAACUCCUUAUCAAAUCUCUAGCUGCAAAGCUAACCACCGGAGACUCAGGGAACCUCAAAGGCUGACCAACCACAUUGAAGAGCGUUGCUCUAUUCCCUGAGCCUUUAAACGGUGUUUUACCAAACAACAACUCAUAAAGAAAGAUCCCAAAAGUCCACCAGUCAACCGCGCUUCCAUGUCCUUCACCUUUGAUGAUCUCUGGAGCUAAGUACUCGUGUGUCCCCACAAACGACAUGGAACGAGCGCUUGUUGGCUCUGCAACGAGCUCCGGUAAGGGAGUAACUUGGUGGUUACCGUUAUCUGUUUUGGCUUUCUUGUCUUUCUUGGACUUAGAUGAGAAGAACCGAGGACCAAAGCAAGAUGUAGGAGCCAUUGAGAUGCAAGAUGGCUGCUGGAUGCAAGCGGGUUGCUGCGAGCAAGAAACUGAGUUCUUUGACAAGCCUUCGGAUCCAAGAUUGGUUGAUCUGACUAUCGAGAGACUCACAGUACAUCUCAGGGAGAGAUCAAAAUCCGAAAGCAUCACGUGUCCAUCAUCUCUCACAAGAACAUUCUCAGGCUUUAGAUCACGGUAAAUGAUACCCAGCAUGUGUAGAUACUCCAUUGCAAGAAGCACCUCCGCUACAUAGAACCUGACAUCAUUAAAACAAAGUCAACACACACACAGAAGAGCUGUUUCGUAGAUGUAAAGAAAGUCUGAUUCUUACUUUGCAGCUUGCUCGGUGAAGCGUUUCCCAGGCUGUCUCUGUCUCAGCGUAUGCAAGUCACCUCCAGGGCAAAACUCCAUAACCAAACAAGAGAACUUCUCAGUUUCAAAAUGACUGUAGAGUGUGGGAAGAAACGGGUGAUCAAGACACUGCAGUAUCUCUCUCUCGGUCUGAGCUCUAAGAAGCUUUUUCCUGCUAGCCAAAGCUGUUUUGUCCAUAACCUUCAUGGCAAAGUAACACCUCGUCCCGUUCAACUCAGCGAGAUGGACAGUUCCGAUAUCACCACAUCCUAACCUCUUCAAGAGCCUAAAAUGGUUCAAUCCCAAACCGCCGUGUUUGGUUCUAACGGCUUGAAUAGCUUCCCACCUCACAUCGUUGGCCUUGUGAGGCUUGUUGAUGCUGCUGCUGAAGCUGCUACAAGUGCUCUCGUCGCUUAUGUCACUGCUAGUGCUCGGUCUACACGUGCUGCUCUUCCCGCUCUCUCCUUGCUCGCUGGUCUUGUUGUUGUUAGCGGUUUUGGUGUCAGUGCUUGGAUCGGCGAAAGACAAGGUGGAAGAGACUUGAUCUGCUAAAGUACUAACUGACAUACUUUGACUGGAACUGGUAAGUGAUCCUUCUGGAGUUUUGGAGGCCAUGGAGGAAAAACUAAACAGAGCCAAAGCUUGGUUUGUGAUUUGAUUUGAGUAACGUUUGUUGACUCUACUAAUCAAUAUUGCCCACAGACUUCCAUCAAAGCUGACCUGUAGCAUCAGUUGAAAAAAAGCAAGCUUGUUACUAAAAAAUCAUGAGACUAGUGAUCAUGGAUCUUACUAAAUAUGCACAAGUAAGAUCUAUAAAGAGAAGGAAUUUGAGAUGUUAUGGAUCUUGAAUUCAUCUCCAAACUGAGAGUCAAUUGAAUCAAAAUCAAGCCUGAAACUAUUCAAGCUCUCUUGGUUCAGGUUUAACUUUAACUAAACCAAAAUCAGAUUAAAAAUCGAGACUUUUUCAAUGCAAAAAGGUGAAGUUUUUUUCUUUUCUCUCUCAAGGGUUGGUUGGUUACACAGAUCUCGUUAAAGUAAGAACAGCCAAAUAAAAACCUUUUGGAUCUACCAAGAAUCAGAUAAUCUAACCCAGAAAAAAAAAAGAAUAGAGCUUUAGAGAGAUAGAGAGAGAGAGGAAAAAGGCAUUAAAUUGUUACCUGAAAAGUUCGGAUUUUUGAGUGACAGAGAAGCCCUUUUCUCCAGAAGGAGUAAGCAGGAGAAUAGUCAGUGUUGAUGUAAAGAUAGAGAGAAAUGAACACAUCUCCUUGCUUCCAUGGAAACAGGGAUAGAUAGAAGAGAGUUCUGUGAAAGAGAAGAGAGAGAGAGAGAGAGAGAGAGUUUGGUCAAAGAAAAAGUUAGAAUACUUUUUUAUUUUAAUAUUUUUUUAGGGAUUCAAUUAUUUCAAGGUUUUCUCCAAAAUGGAAGACAAAUGUUUACAUCAAUGAUCCCCUCGUGAGCUGUAAUAGUUUGAGCCUUUUUAGACACAAAAUAAAAUUUCAUAAAGAUUAUCAUCUAUUCUUUGAUAAAAAAAAUAAGAUUAUUAUCUAUUUUUACAAAUUUGUUACAAGAAGAAACAUAGAAAUGGAUAGUUUGUAAUUAAAGUUUUUGUUUACGUGAUAUAAAUUUUGACAUUUUUCGCAUGUUAUUUUGUAAGUAUGAUACUGAUUUCACAAGGAAAAAAUCGCUUAUGUGUUUGGAAAGUGUAGCUCUAUCGCUUGCCAAUUUAAAUUAAGAUCUGUAUUUUAGAAUCUGAAUUUUGGAUACAUUUGCCUGACUUAGCAUUUCAUAUAUCCUUCCAAUAAAUGUACAAAGAGAUAUUAUAAAUCUGUAUUUAUUAUAGUUUCCACAAAUAGUUAUACACUCCAAAAAAAUAAAUGUCUAUGUAAUCUUAGUGAAAUCUCACUAAUAAUACAUGCCUGAAUGAUAUGUAUAAAAAUGUGUAGAGCGAAUAUAUAAUUAUAAAUUUCACCAUCAUCAUUUUAUAAAGCUAAGGAGUUCUAACUUAACGAUGCCCAAAAAGGGUUGAAGCAAUUUCUGAUUUAUUUCAAUAUCAAUCUAAGAUUGCAUGCCCCAUGGUUUCUUGAAUACUUUACCAAUGAAUCGAGCAGAAACAAUGUUUUUUGUGGAUAUAGUUCAACAGGAUGUUGACAAAACAGAAGAUUGCUCAGCAUAAAGAAACACAAGUAGGUAUAAUUUGUUCAAUUUAGCUAUCUCAAUAAUUCAUUUUUAAUAUGUAUACUAGAUUUUAAUCUGCGUUUUGAAAAUGCGGGAUAAGUUUUUGAUGAAAAUUUUAUAUAAUCGUUAUUUUCUCUUUAUUUAAAGUAGGUAUGGAUAUAAAAUCCGUAAUCCGAAGUCCCAACCGAACUCAAACCAAAAAAUCUAAUCCAUACCGAUCCGGAUCCGAAAUGUAUGAAAUAUUAUACGCUAGUAAAAAACAUAUCCGAAUCCAAAAUGUUAUUAGCCAAACUCAAACGGAUAAUCCGAAAAAACCUGAAAAUAUCCAAAAACCGAUCCGAAUGUCAAAAUUAAUCACAAAUAAAAAUAUUUGACACAUAAAUAUGUACUUCAAAUAUUCAGUUCUAAGCUUAUUUUGAAAUGAUAUAUAAAACAAGUAUUUAAUUUUUAAAUGAGUACCUUAAAUAUCUAGUUUUAUAUAAAUAAGUAUUUAUUUCUUAUGUUUUGUUUAUAAAGUUUGGAUUAAACUUCGAAUAUAUCCAAAACAAACCAAUAUAACGCAAAUCCGAACUAUAUAUUGUCAUUUUAUGGAUUUUUGGAUGUGAUACAAAUUAGAACCAAAAUUGAUGUAUUAUAUCCCAACUCGUAAGUGUUAAUAUAAAUUGAAUUCAUUAUUUUAAAAACAUUAGAUUAGUUAUUUAUUUGUUUAAUUUUAGUAUAGGGUAUAUAAUUAAUAAUAAGAGUAAAUUUCAUGUUUACCAUUUUCAAGGUACCAUUCUUCAUUUUAACCACCAUUAAAGAAACAUUUUCAAAAAUACAUUCUUCAUUAAGUGGCAAAAGAUUCUUAUACCAUUGUUCUCUGUAUAUAAUAAAUAAUUAUUUAAAUAAGAUAUAUAUGUAUAUAUAUAUAUUUUGAUGUUUUCGAAUUAUACUUUUUUAAAUUCGACCUUUUUUAUAAAUUUAUUUUUUUGAACUUUUUUCAAAUUUUUGUUUUUCUUUUUGAAAAUCAAAAAUUAUGUUUGAAACUUUUUCAAAAAAAAUACUUUUUUUUAACUAUUUAUUAGAAUCUUAAAUUUCACACUCCAAAAAUCUUACCACCCCUCAAAUUUAAAUCCUAACUCUCGAUUAGUUAACUCUAGAGAUAUAAAUGUCUUUUAUCUUUCGUUAAAAUUUGUGUGUUCACUAAAGUCAACCAAAAUAAUUCCCUAUGAUGAGCGUGCUUUUAUAACGUGUACAUGUAUAUAUUUUUUCCCAAUUUACUUAUGUGGUAAGAUACUGUAAUGUUAUAUCGAGUUAAUCACUGUUUAAUUAUAGUUUAUAUCCACUCUGCUUUAUACUUUAUACUUUAAUUAGUACAACCCAAAUGUCAGAACACAGUCCACAUGAUUUUGUUUGGCGUCAAGAAAAUAAAAAUACAAAAUAAUUGUCCACCUGAUUUAAUUAUAUCCACUUUCGUUAAAACAUAACCUAUCUUAUGUUUUUAAAAAAACAUAACCCAUCUUUUUCGCUUCAAAAAAUGUUGUUUAUGCUGUUCAAAAAAUGUUCUUUUGAACAGCAGACUAAAAAUGUUCUUUCGAAUAUAAUUAAAUCACCAAGAAAGUAAACAAAUCGUAUUGAAUUAUUCAUGCCAUUACAAUACAAAAAGAAUUUGUUUGAUUGAUUCAUAUAAUCGACCGGUUAGAUAUCUUUUAUGAUUUGAAGUAUUUUUGUAUAAGAAAAUAAAUCUGAGUAAAACAAUUUUUUAUUAUUAAAAACCACAAAAGAGAGUUAAGGAUUAAUAAAGGUGAUAUUAAUACUGAGAGGUCCCAAAAACAAGAUCUGAGUAUCUGACAGAGAUAGAUGAAGAAUGGGUUGUCAUGUUCGCCAACACAAGUCCCACUUCGGAAAGAGAUGUGAUGAAUCUCUCUUAAGUCUCUAACUACUUACAAGUUACAACCAAUCAACAGCUCACUAGACAAAUCCCUAAUUUUAAUCAUCUUCCUGUAAAACCAAAAGCAAAACGAUAAUGAACUAAAAAUCAGAGCCUUUUUCAACUUUCAAUAUAUUGUUGUUGUAUACGAUUGUACAAUUUGAUUUCAGUUUGUUCUUACAGAAACUAAAACCAAGUAACACAAUUUGUACUUGAAAUUGGAUCGGCUUGAUUUGCCAUGAAGUCUAAUUCAUUUAUAUUAAUUAGGGGCGGACAUUUCGGUUUAAUUACGGGUUUGGUUUGGAUUAUUUGGGUCUAAAAAAACUUGAACCAAAAUCAACUCAAAUUAGUAUGGUUUGGGUUAAUAAAACCAAACCGAACCGAACCAUUUUGGUUGAUAAAAUUUUGAACCAAAUGGAUUAGACAUAUACUUUGAUUUGGUUUGAAUCGAUUUGGGUUCGAUUGGAUCGGUUUGGUUCGGUUUGGUUUUUUCUGCCUACGCCUAAUAUUAACGCCAUGAUAAGUUAUCGGAUAAUUUUAAUUUCAGCUUAGGCAGCAUUUUAAAUUCUUAAAUAUUACUCUUUCCGUUCUAAAAUGAUUUAUAUUUUAAAAAAAUAUUUUGUUUCUAAAAGAUCAAUAUUUUACAUUUUCAAUGUAUGUAUUAAUGUCAAAGUGUAAAUUUCAAAAACAAUAAUUGUGUUUACUAAAUUUUGAUUAGUUAAAAAUCAUAAAAAUAGCUAAACAUGAAAAUUAAUAUAUUUAUUAUCAAAAUUUUACGUAUUUUUUUAGGAGUAAUUAAUACUGUAAUAUAACUGGUUCGGUAUUCCGGUUACGCCGACUAAAGUGUUAGAAAGAUGGGGAACUUGGUGACUGGCUCAAGACUCCAACUCAACUUCACUGACUCUUCGUAAACAAAACUUUUGGACAUAAAAGAUCUUUCCAUUGGAGUCUAAGAGAGUGUAGCUCUCUCUGGCUUCUAGUUUUUAAUGUUACACAAAUAAUUCGUGAAAUAAUAAAUGAAAACAACAAGCCAAUAUAUGGCACCUUAAACUUCACCAUGAUAGAUAGUGUUUGUUGAAUUAUUGCUUCUCCUUCGACUUCUCUCUCAUUGCUUUCCUUUUCUCUUCCCUGCACAUGUGUUUAAUAAAAACAUUGUGAAGCAAGAAAUCUAAGACAGCCCAAAGCGUUUUCUUCGUUCAGUUAAUGGUUUUUGACAAGAGGUGAGAAAACUUUCUUACCUAGCUUGAGAAAUCUCCAUCCUCAUUUCAGUUCUGUUCUUCCUUUGCUUCUUUAUUUUAGGUGGAUCCUCACCUUUUUUAGAUUUUGAUUUCUUGCCUUUUUUGCUCUCCUUUGAUUUUGCAAGUCCCUCCUUGCUUUCUUUAGUUUUCUUGGGUUGCUGCUUCUUGGGAACAGAAGGUUGUUUCUCCAUCCCUUCCAUGGCCUCAGCUUCAUCAUCAUCACUGGGCACAUCAGCUUCAUCUACAGUUCCUAACGCCUCGUCAUCAUCUUCUGAAGCUUGUUUCAUGUUACUCAUUUUCUUUAGCUGUACAAAGAAAAACAAGCGCAAAACAUGAAAACUUGUAGAUUUAUCAAUCUCGGUUUAUUAAAUAUAAAACUUAAGAGUAAUGACAAAGACACGGUCGAUAUCAUUUACAGGGUUAAAAGUGAGUACCUUUGCAACAAAGAAUCCAUCCAUGUUGUGUACAUGAGGAUAAAAACGUUUGGUCUUGUUUAAAGAUGGAUGAAAUCGAUGUUCUCUAAAUCUUACAAAUCUGAUGAAGACAUGGACAAAGAUUUCGAAACGUUGAGACGGUAUCAUUGUAAUGUUCCUUUACAUAUCUCAAUAGAUGGAACUUUGUACAUUACCCGUCUUGGCCGAAGUCGAGUCCAGUUUUAACGAGUUGAACACUCCUCUUUUUGAGAGCAUAAUCGAUGACAGCUUCGUUCUGUGCAAUUUUGUUUUCAUGCAACAUAAAAAUAAGAGGAUGCAUAAAGACAUAAGGGAGACAAACAUGGGCGGGAACAUAUCAGGACACUAACCUCAGCAACCAUAAGUGAACAUGUUGAGUACACAAUAAAUCCACCGGUUUUGGAAGUGGCAUCCACCAUAUCAAUAGCAGCAAGUAAAAGUUGCUGCCGGUAAAAAAAGAGAGGUUAUAUUAGCUUUUCUUUGAGAAUGUAAAAUUUGUUUGUUCAGAUAUAUUUGACGUUUGCCAAGAGAAGAUACUGUCAUACCUUUUGCAAGUGAGCAAAUUUCUUAAUUUCCUCCAGAGAUUUGGAAACUUUAACUGAUUCAUCUUUCGAAAUGACCUGUAUGCGUAGCAGAGAAGAGAACAUUUAGUUAUAAAGAUCUAGAGCUUAACAGAGACUAAGCUCGAAGUUUCUUACCCCAGUUCCACUGCAAGGUGCAUCCAACAAUACUCUAUCAACCGAUUUCUCACCUAACACCUUGGGUAGCUGAAAGCAACAAGUGUAAUAAUUCUAGUCAUGCCAGUAUGUAGAUGUUAUGAAGAAGUAUCACAAAUUCAACGAUCUCGACUUUCUAUGAAGUUAUUGAAAUAAUGAAUGCUCAAGAAGCUAACCUCUCUUCCAUCAUAGUUACAGACUAUGGUAUUUGUGACGCCCAUGCGGUGCAGAUUGGCAGUCAACGACUUGAGCCUAGGUACUUUCAUCUCGUUCGCAAAUAUCAAGCCUGGUUACAGCAUUAACACAAUGCAUGAAAGUUACAUCUAAACAGUUAAAUAAGCGCAAUCCAACCAUCGGAGAAAGAAACAAAGAAAGUGAGAAUAUGUCGGCGUCCGUCAAGAAGAAAUCGUCGAACCAUGUUACCGUCAAAGUCAAAACUCAGGUACUUGAACAAAUUAUUCCUACAUGAUAAAUGUAACAACCAUUAGAUUACAUAUGGAUUAACAAUGACUGAGUAUUACUGUACGAGUAGACAUUAGAGUUUUCUAAAAAAAAUUUAUCCGUAAGUUGUCACUUCCACAAUUAAUACUUUUCGAAAACGAAAAUUGUUCAUUUCCGUAACAAAUCUUAGUAGUACUGUAGUAUUAUUUAACCGGCCUAGAAAUUAGAAUGAUGGAUCAAAUGAGUAUAUAUUAACAUUUAAAAAAAAAUUGUUGUAAAUAAAAUAUAACAGGAUGAUGUAGAUGUGUACUUCCGGAUUAAGAAGGACGUUGGGCUCCGUAAGAUGAUGGAAGCUUUUUCAGUGAAAAAAGGAGAAGAUAUGUCUGCCUUUGCCUUUCUUUUCGAUGGAGUUCAUAUCAAACCCGAUCAAACUCCCAAUGAGGUACUUAUUAUCAACAUAUGAUUACUAUUUUUUUCUUAUGAAUAUUUUAAUUACUCCAUAUAUAUAUUGAGAGAAAAGAAAAGAGUUUGCAGCUUGAGCUUGAAGACGGAGAUGAAAUUCAGGCGUUUCUUCACCAAAUAGCUGGAGUGCUCAGCUUCUGUGCGCCAUCACCACUAUCUUAGUUAUUAUUCAUGGGUUAUUAUUAGUAGUAAGUAGUAACUGGUACGGUUCACACAAUAUUUAUAAUAUUAUGAUCUUUCUUUUAAUGAUUUUCACCUAUUUUCCAAUAUAAAAGUUGGUUAUAAACUUAUGAUCAAUGCUAAAAAUGAAUAAUGGCGGAGUAAUUUAUGGUUGAAUGCGAUUUUUUUUUAUGGAGUUCAUACAAAGGACAGGUGGAAAUGUUAUAUUUUCGUAUUAAAUGUGCUAUACUACAGUCUACGUACACGAGUAAAAGAACAAAUCGUUGUCAAUAUGAUCAUCCUUGGAGACCUUGGCCCCAGUCCUGACUAGUCAAAUAUAUUAGCAAAAUGUAUAUAAUUAGAUCUAUUUUUUAGCCUUACAUGUCGUCUAGCUCACGUGCCAAAAUAGACUUAUUCGCCCAUCAAGCUCCACGCAAUUUUGUUUUCCCUCUGAAUUUACUAAUUUUCUCUUAGUUAUAUGGAUUGGGCACUGGCCAUACCAUACCAACGAUGAUAGAUAUCUUUUAAACUAAAUACUUGAUACUUUUGGAGAAUAAUUUUUUCGAGUUACCAACUAGUAAUUUUUUUUGUAUUUGACACACUUUAAAUCCACUAAUUUCGUAGCAAAUACUGGUCGAUUAAGAACAUAGGUCCCUAGGCUCUGUAAGGAAUAAUGUGUAAAGUUAAAUGGAAUCUUGAGAGGAAUGAUGCUAAUGCAUAAAGUUAAAUAAAGUAAACUAGAGAUUUACUCGCCGUCACAAGAGUAAAUAAGAGCUCUGUUCGAAAACGCGGACGCCUAGCCGAUUAGUCGGCCGACUAGACGCUCGGCGGAACCAAACCGCAGCGAUUUCACCAAAUCGGUUCAACAAAUCGUUAAACCGAUUAAUCAAUAAACUAACCAAUUAAUCGCUAAAAAAUCGGAUUAAAACCGAUUUAAAACGCCUAAUAGUUAGACUUUGUUGACAAAUUUUGGGCCUUAAAACGAAAGCCUAUUUGUCCGUGAAUUGAGUAGACUUUGUCCCUGUAUUUAUAAAGGACAUCAACACCUCUCUUCCUCAUUGUUAACCGAUGUGGGACAAGUUAAGUUUUUUUUUUUUCAAAAUCGUACAUGUAAAAAGAAUGGAAAAGAAAUGUUGCUGGAGAAUCGAACACACUACCUCUUAAGAUUACAUAAACGUCACAAGCCGCUGGACUGUGACGCUUCUACGUCCAUCUGUCACAUAUAUUUGUAUAUAUAAGCAUGUAUUAAAACUAUUAUUAUCAUGUUUAUUACAUAAACAUAUUAUAAAUACAUUAAAUUGUAUUAAAACCUAGGCUCCGAUUAAUCUCCGUUUAAUCCCCGAUUUUUUGAUAACUCGCUAGGCCCGGUGUUGCCGCCCGACUAGCGUCUAGCGUAGUUUCGAACAUGGAAUAAGAGUAUUAGGUUAACCGGUGACCAACCAGAAGCUGCCAAAUGUCAACCGAAUACACUUCCCCUCUCUCCUCUCUGUCUCUUUCUAUUUCUCUCUCAUCGCCACUGACUUUGCUCCUCUCUGAUUAAACAGAGGAAGAAAUUCAAACUUCAUCUCUUCCAAAGCUCUAAUCUUUUCUUUUCCCUUUCCUUUCCUUCUCAUAGACGUCGAGACUAGAAGAUAUCUUUUUUUUUUCUCUGAUCAAACGUGUUUUAUUUUUGGUCUCGGUCGUCUUCUCUCUCCCAGAGCAAAUCAUUCAUUUAGAUUCUUUUCUUUAUUUUCUUGGCGCGUCUCUGGGUUUUCAUCUUCCGUCUCAGACAACGAGAAAAGAUCAGGUACUAAUUCGAUCGUCGCUUCAGAGGUUGUAUGUAGAGAAGCUCCAUCAUUUUUUCGAUUAGCAUCUUUUGAUUAUUGAUUGAUUAGGGAUCUGUGCUGAUUAGAUUUGAACAGAUCAUUUAAAAAAGGGAAAAUCUUUAGUCUUUUAUUAUAAUCUUUCCCUUAAUAACCUCUUGUUAGGGUUAUGUGUACUGUUGAUAUUGCUUAAUUAGUGGAAUCAUCCCUUAAUCAACGGAGAACUGUGUGUGUGUCUCUCUCUCUCUCUCUCUUGUCUGUGUUAUUUAUUAGGUGGUGAGUCUUGGUUCUUCUCUGUCUUUGUAGCUUUAUAAAGAGAGAGAGAGAGAGCAUGCAAAAUGGUUGCUAAGAAAGGACGUAGAGACUCUUCAGAUUCUUCUCCUUCUGUGGAGGUUGGAGAGAUAGACACAAGCUCUCCUUUUCAAUCUGUUAAGGAUGCUGUUAGUCUCUUCGGUCGUGAAGCUGCCUUUUCCGCUGAAAAGCAGCCUCUCGUUCGAAAACCCAGUCCCCAAUCCGCUGAGGUAAACAAACGCUUUCUUCAGCUUUGAUUCACAAACAGCUUCUGAGUUGUGUUGUGGUUUUGCAGAAAGUUUUGGUGAAGCAAACUGAGCUUCACGUGGCGCAGAAAGAGCUGAACAAGUUAAAGGACCAGCUUAAGAACGCUGAAACAAUCAGAGAGCAAGCCUUGAGUGAGCUCGAGUGGGCUAAGAGAACUGUUGACGAGCUUACUCGCAAGCUUGAUGCGGUUAAUGAGUCGAGAGAUGCUGCGAAUAAAGUGACUGAAGCUGCCAAGAGUCUGAUCAAAGAAGCGAAACCAGGGAAUGUUUCUGUGUCUAGCCGUGAUGAUGCUGAGGGUUUGGAUAUGGAACAUUAUGGGAUGGUGUGCAAGGAGCUUGAUACAGCGAAGCAAGAGCUGAGAAAGAUCCGUCAGGUUUCAAAUGAGGUUUCUGAAACAAAGAAUGUUGCGUUAACCAAAGAAGAGGAAGCUAAAGAAGUGACUAAAGUUUAUUCAGAGAAGAUCGAGUUGCUUAGAAAGGAGAUCGCAGCUGUUAACGAAUCAGUUGAACAGACUAAGCUUGCUUGUUCUCAAGCUCAGAAAGAACAGUCUAAGAUUUUUGCAGAGAAGGAGAUUCAGCACCAAUCUUAUAAAGCUGGCAUGGAAGAGUCUGCCAAGAAGCUGCUCGCUUUGAAGAGCGAGUUUGAUCCUGAGUUUGCUAAAAAGCUUGAAGCGCAGUUAACUGAAACAUACAACGAGAUCGAUGAGUUGCAGAAGCAAAUGGAGACUGCGAAAGCAUCUGAUACGGAGUCUGUUAAUGGGGUGAGUCUGGAGCUGAAAGAAGCAAAGGGUUUACUAGAGAAGCUCGUGGAAGAAGAGAAGUCUUUGGAAAAGUCAGUGGAAUCUCUCAAAGCAGAGCUAGAGAAUGUGAAGACAGAGCGCAGUGAAGUUGAAGCCAAGGAGGCUGAGAUCGAAACUGUGGCUGGAGAUCUUAAUCUGAAGCUUAGCCAAAGCAAGAGUGAGCUUGAAGAAUGCGUUGCAGAGGAAGGUAAAGCAAACGCUGCUUUGGAAGAUAUGAUGUCAACCUUGAAUCAAAUCACUUCUGAGACGGAAGCUGCUCGAAGAGAAGCUGACGCAAUGAGAAACAAAGCCGAGGAGCUGAAGAAGGAAGCAGAAACGGCGCAUCUCGCGCUUGAGGAGACAGAGCUGAACUUGAGGGUGGCCCUAGAUGAAGCUGAAGAAGCAAAAACUGCAGAGGCAAAGGCCCUUGAACAGAUAAAGUCCAUGUCUGAAAAAACCAACGCUGCACGCAACUCCACGUCAUCCGAGUCUGGACCUCAGAGCAUCACGCUGUCUCAGGAUGAGUUCAAGUCUUUGAGCAAGAGAGCUGAGGUAUCUGAUAAGUUAGCGGAUAUGAAAGUGGCGGCUGCGCUGGCUCAGGUGGAAGCAGUGAGAGCUAGCGAAAACGAGACGCUGAAGAAGUUGGAGACGACGCAAGAGGAGAUCGAGAAGCUAAAGACUGCAACGGAGGAGGCACUGAAGAAAGCAGCUAUGGCUGAUGCUGCAAAGAAAGCGGUCGAAGGAGAGCUCAGGAGGUGGCGGGAAAGAGAUCAGAAGAAAGCAGAGGAAGCAGCGUCGAGGAUUCUUGCGGAGGCUGAGGCCAGGAUGUCUGUUGAAUCAUCACCGCAGCAUCUCUACUACAAAGACACGAAACAGAAACCUGUUCACAAGAAGAAGCUGGAGAAGACGAGAACUAGUGUGGUGUCAAAGAAAGUGUUGAUGCCGAAUCUAAGUGGAAUCUUUAGUAGAAAGAAGAAUCAAGCGGAGUGGGGUUCUCCUUCUUACCUCCCUGGAGAGAAACCCUUUUGACUGUAUUGCUUCUUUUUUUUUUUUUAAAGAUUUGAGAACUUUUGUUAUUGUGAGCAAUGAGAAAAUUGUGUGCUAAAAGGUUGUUGUGGUUUGAGUCUUUGAGAUCAGAGAGGCAGUUGCAGCUUUUUGGUCUGUAAUGUGAGAGAAACUGGUGUGUUGCUGUAAAUUUGGAUCAAAUCUAUAUAGUUUUUUUUCUCUUUUUGUGAUUUGUAAAUGUUUUUUUUUUUAGUUUCUUACAUCUACAACUUUGAGAUAAAGGUGAAAGAAAAAACAUUUAACAAUACUGACGAGGUUGGUCGAUCUCAAGAAUUUUGUCGACCAGAUGGGUCAGCAUUCGGUGCCUGUCACAAAGCGACGGAUGCUUUCUUGAGCGUGAAGACUGUUUUAGUUAGUGUUCUGAUGAUGAGGAACCCAAAAUUUUAUCCCAAAACAAAUCAUUCUAAACAUAUUUACAUAUCCUUUUCUGAACAAAUAUAUAUUUACAUAUCAUUUUAACAAUUUUUUAAUUGCUUUAUUAAAAGUUUAAAACUGAUUUGAAACAUAUUAUUUUCUCUGUUUCUUAAAAACUGUCAUUUUAACAUUUUUUUUUUGUUACAUAAAAGUAUCAUUUUAGAUUUUUAAUUUAAAUCAUAUUUAUUUUUAAUUUAAUAUUAAUUAUAAACUGCAUUGAUCUUAUAAAUAAUUUUAUUUAUUUUAAAUACUAUUAGUUAAAUAUGUGUAACUCAUAGGAAGUUAAAUGCAUUUAAUCAUUUUAAAAUGUCAAAGUUUAACAAACUUUAGAUAAUCACCAAUGUGGCUGCUUUAGAGAUGCAAGAGUAACUUUGUAUGUCAUCACUGUCGUAGAUCUGUUUUGGAAAUCAACGGUGACGUUUAUCAUCAAAUUAAUCCAAAUUAUCUGCAUAAUAUGUUGCUGAGAAUAUAUAUCAGUGAUAUCACUAAUUUAAAGACUCUUUCUUUUGUAUUCUUUACAACAUGAGAUAUGCGCUUGCAUUUGAACUACCAAAAAUUAAACUUUGUAAUUUUUUGAAAGAUCUAGCAUCUACCUGUUAUUCAUAAAACAAACAAAAAAAUCUAAAGUAGACAAACUCGAACAAAAAAUGUUUAAAUUAGACAAAAUCAUCAAUCUUCUAUAUUAAAAGAAACUAUGUUAGAGUUGGAUUCAACUUCCAAAAAGAAGAAUCAUAUUAUAAACAUAAGAAAAAAGUGGUUUACUAUCCAAGAAGUGGUAACAAAGUUGCUGAUAGAAUAGCGAAGGAGACUGUUACGUUUUCUACUGUCCUUAAGUUGAGUUGAAAAAAAAAACGAACCACGACCCGACCAAAAAUCCGAAACUGCGGAGGUUUGAGUUCUUUUUUUUUUUCAAAUCACAUUUGGUCGGUCUAUCUAAUUAAAUUGCAAGGGAAAAAAACAAAUGAAAGUGUCGAAACAUGGUGUCACCGCCGUGUCAGCGAUAAUUAAUACACACUUAAAACUAAUUUUUAUUUAUCUUUAAUAACUUUCUUCUCCAAACUUUCAGUUCCGAUCUCUCCACAAAAAAGAUACGAACUUUAAUUUCAAAUGGGAAGCGGAAGAAGAAGAUACAUGGACGACGACCCUUUAGCCUCCUCCUCCUCUCCCAUCACCGUAUCCAACCCCCUCGACAGCUUUCUCGGCGAAUCGACCUCUCGCUCUGGAAGCUUCGAAAGUGAGAGCAUCAGCGAAGCAGAAGCCGAUUUUGGACCCGAGAAACUCGCCGGGACCGUAGAGUUCUACGAGAGACAUGUCUUCUUGUGCUACAAAAAGCCCUCCUUUUGGCCGGCCAGGAUCGAGGCCUCCGAGUUCGAUCGGUUGCCGAGGCUUCUCUCUUCCGUCGUGUCUGCGAGGAAGUGUGAUAUGAAGAAAGAGGUGAACUUUCUUAGCCCCUUUGAACGGGCUCCUUUUGAAUGUUAAUCCCAUAACUACUUAGGUUUGCUCAUAGUUGUAGUUUGAUCCAUUGGUUUGUUGUGAUUCUAGUCAUGAGUUCAGUGAGUUGUGAAAGUUGUUGCUCCUAACUCCAUUUGCUAUUCUCUGUUUAUUUUGAUGCUAAAGUUUACAAUGUGUUAUUUCAUCAGUUAUGAGUUAUCUUUUGUUCUUUCUUCCGUUAAUUUGCAGACUCUACUCACAAUAUGUGAGGGCCAUGAUGGGACUGAGACAUCUAAUGGGGAUGUGUUGAUCUUUCCGGAUAUGAUUAGAUACAGGUAACUUGUAUAAUUUUUUUUAUGUGCAAUGAUUCUUGAUUUAAAAAAAGGCAAACUCAUUUUGAUAUUUUCAAUGUUGAAUGUUGCAGAAGGUUGACUCAUUUUGAUGUGGACACAUUUGUUGAAGAGGUGCUUGUGAAGGAUGUUGUGUGGCUGCCUGGGAAUCCUGAACCUCUGAGUGGCUCAUAUGUCUUUGUAUGUUGUCAUGGAUCCAGAGACCGGCGUUGUGGGGUUUGUGGACCCUCUCUGGUUAGUAGAUUCAGAGAAGAAAUUGAAAUGUGUGGUCUUGAAGGUGAAGUUUCGGUCAGCCCUUGUUCCCACAUUGGUGGUCACAAAUACACUGGAGAUGUUAUCAUCUAUGGAUCAAACAUUAACCAGAGAGUCACAGGAAACUGGUAAGUAAAGAACACCAUAUUUAAAAUAAAUAAAAAAAGAUUGAGUUGUGUUACUGUUUCUGUGAGUUUUAAGUGAUUCUUGUUCUGUUAGGUAUGGGUUAGUGACUCUAGAAGAUGUACCUCAACUGCUGGAGCAACAUAUUUACAGAGGCCAAAUCCUAGACCGCCUUUGGAGGUAACAUAGGCUCUCUUUAUUGACUUAGUCUCUAUACAUUUUUUUUUGGUGUUUGAACACUUUAACUUAUUGGUUUAUAGGGGUGAAAUGGGUCUGUUAGAAGAAGAUCAGAAGAUAACUCAAGAACAAAGGUUCCAAGAACGAAAUGCUGAAAAGAUCAACAACGGGGAGGUGUCCCUCGUUGUCCAACAAAAUGGGAAUUCAUCUUGGUGUUUAGAGGAGGAGAAUCACACUGAGAAUAAUACCUCGGAAAAAGAAAUCUCUGUUAAAAGUGCAUCUUCUCGGGUAAGUAGCAGCAAGAAUGGAUCUUCCUGCGGAUUCAAGGUUUGUGCUGCGAUGUCAAUGUGGUUGGAGAAUUGGGAGAAAGAAGAUACAUAUGCUGCUUUAUCUGUUGUUUGUGCUGCUGCAUCUGUGGCUAUUGCCUAUAACUGCUACAAGCAAUUGAAAUGAAACCGUUUGUUAUAUAUUUUUGGAACGGUUAUUAUUAUUAUCUCAGCCCAUUAGAAUGAUCCUCUUCGUCUGUAUAGAGGAUGGUCUCUGGUUUUAUGUAACAACUGUCUGUUGAUAAUAUAUUAGACAUCUCUGGUUUGGAUUCUUAAUGGUUUGUGUCUCUUAACAUUUAGCUUACGAAGAUGGUACAGAUACUGUCUAAGAUGUUUGAAGAAUGAUACAAAUCUCAGAAGCUUGUUCAGAAAAGAAAAAGACAAGAGAAAUAACACACGUUUCAAAUAAACUAAACAAGAAACAAUAGGAGAAUCAUCAAAUUGGGGACACAGAUCAGAAGAAAUCAAACUCAAGAUAAUUGCUCUGGUCAGAUCUCACGCUUGUAGAUGCAGCAGAAGCCGGUGUAGCAGGAGUAUGUUGUUUCACCGGUUCAAGAUCAACCGGUUUGGGAACCUCAGGUGGAGUGGCACACCGAACCAGAGCCCAAUUCACUCCUUCAAAGAAAGGAUGUUGCUUCAUCUCCGUCGCUCCACGCUUGUAAGCUAACCUAUGCUGUGGCUCCUUCACAAGCAAACUCCUUAUCAAAUCUCUAGCUGCAAAGCUAACC
rnacentral:lncRNA from 1 species